CAGAAGCCACAGAAAUCCUCCUCAUCAAAAACAUGACUUUGAUCUCCGUCCUCAUCUGGACUCUCCUCUGCUGCUGCUUCACAGAGUCCAGAGGCCAGGUCACAGUGACUCAGCCUGGAGCAGUGAGCUCUGCUGUGGGAGGCUCCGUCACCAUCAACUGUAGGACCAGUCAGAAUGUUUAUGUUGGGAGCAAUUACCACCAUUUAGCCUGGUACCAACAGAGAGAUGGAGAAACUCCUAAACUGCUCAUUUACUGGGCUAGCACUCGACCAUCAGGGAUUCCAGCUCGUUUUACAGGCAGUGGAUCAAACUCUGACUUCACUCUGACCAUCAGUGGAGUUCAGACUGAAGAUGCAGCAGUUUACUACUGUCAGAGUCUACACUACAUCAACAGUCAGCAUGUGUUCACACAGUGAAAAAGCGUCGUACAA